UAAAAACCCCGACUUCGGAAGGGGUGUAUUUAUUAGAUACAAAACCAAUGCCCUUCGGGGCUCUUUGGUGAUUCAUGAUAACUAUACGAAUCGCACGGCCUUGCGCCGGCGAUGGUUCAUUCAAAUUUCUUCCCUAUCAACUUUCGAUGUUUGGGUAUUGGCCAAACAUGGUUGCAACGGGUAACGGAGGGUUAGGGCUCGACCCCGGAGAAGGAGCCUGAGAAACGGCUACUACAUCCAAGGAAGGCAGCAGGCGCGCAAAUUACCCAAUCCCGACUCGGGGAGGUAGUGACAAUAAAUACUGAUACAGGGCCCUUUCGGGCCUUGUAAUUGGAAUGAGUACAAUUUAAAUCCCUUAACGAGGAACAAUUGGAGGGCAAGUCUGGUGCCAGCAGCCGCGGUAAUUCCAGCUCCACUAGCGUAUAUUAAAGUUGUUGUGGUUAAAAAGCUCGUAGUUGAACCUUGGGCCUGGCUGGCCGGUCCGCCUCACCGCGUGCACUGGUCCGGCCGGGCCUUUCCCUCUGUGGAACCCCAUACCCUUCACUGGGCGUGGCGGGGAAACAGGACAUUUACUUU
rnacentral:rRNA from 1 species